UGAAAACUAAGCACAGUAUUAAAUCUUGAGGAUGUCUUACAUAACGGGACACAACAAUAUCGAGAUGAUGCACCUUCACACCGAAGACGCAAUUAACUUUGAGGCCCGAUACCAACUAACGAGCUAGGAUAAGACUUCAAAAAAAGGCGAGUGUGGAUCAAGGUCAUCAUACAUCUCCCAGACACAUGGAGACCUCCUGCAGUAGGCCACAUAAUGUCCAAGAGCAUCCUGGGUUAAGCCUCCUCUGAAAGCAGUGACUGCCCUUAAAGUAAAUCUCUCUCCUUGGAGCAUCAGAUUGGAGGGAAAUUCACACAAAGAAAAUUCUGUGGAGGUGCUUCCCAGGUCAGUGUCAAUCCACAGAAGUUCUCCCAGACUGUAACUGUGAGAAACUUUGCCUACACAGAGCACUUUUCCUGAGAUAGAGUCUGUCUUGAAUGCAGAGGGACACUGUGACGGACUUUGGAUUGGCCUGAGGCAGCGGGACUCCGGAAGGUUAAGGCCUUCUUCCACCGCGGUCUGGUGGAAGAUCCUGAUGCAAAAAAUGUCAUACACUGUAAACUUGUUUUCAUGUAUUACUUACUGUAUUUGCCAGAAUACAAGGAAAAUAUAGUAAUAAUAUAUACGGAUAUUAUAUCUUAUAUUAGGAUCAAUAUGGUAAUGUUGACCCUUAGAUGCACAAUGUAUUCAAAAAACUAACAUGGGUACCAUGUGCAGCUGUAAUUAGCAUUUCAUAGCUCCAUUAGCCAUACUAGUAUUAACAAUGAGUUUUCUGUUCAAGAAACAUUGACAAUCUUAGCUCUUUGAAUGUUGUACCAUUAUGAUUGAAGUUAACUAAUAAUAUUCUGACAGUGUUAAAAAAUUGUACUUACACUGGCCAGAGUUUUGAUUUAGUAACUUUUCCUGGACUAACAACAGUAAUUUCCACAAGAGCAUCGUGAACAGAAGUGUCGCACUAGUGGUGGCAGUGAAGUGUAGCAGAUUAUUCUCCUUGUAAAUAAAUGAAAAGUUCAAUCAUGAGAGACCAGUGAAUGAAGUAAAGAGAAUUGUUUAUUGACCAAAUGAUGAUAUGAUUUCUCUUGAAAAAGUCUUAGGCAGUUUGAUUGUAAAAGUGUGCUCAGACCGAGGAGAUUUGCACCUAUAAGUCAAUGUCUAAUAUUUUAUAAACGGAAGCAGCACAAACGAAACUUUUGUCUGCACAAACGAAGCACAAACGAUUGAGACUAUUUUGAAUGAACUUGGAGCAUGGGGGGUGACCCCAAAAUGACCUAUAAAUAUUCUUUUAAUAUCUCCAAAUCCGAAGCAGCACAAAUGAAGCGUUUAUUGGCACAAACGAAGCACAAACAAACGAGCCUAUUUGGAGUGAACUUGGAGCAUGUGUGGGGCUGGUGACGUCACCGCACCAUAAUUAAACGUCUAAUAUUUUAAAAACGAAAAUUUUAUCAACACAAACGAAGCACAAACGAUUGAGCCUAUUUGGGGUGAAUUUGGAGCAUGUGGGGGGGGGGCUGAGUGACCUCAGAAUUACCUAUAAAUAUUCUUUUAAUAUCUCCUGAACCGAAGGAACACAAACGAAAAUUUUUACGGCACAAACCAGCACAAACGAUUGAGAAUAUUUUGCUGACGUUUUGCGUUGGUGGGGGGGCCAACUUCACGCAGGAUGUUUACCUGAGGAAACGCAAAACCCCGCCUACAAUGACUACGCUGUGGAGGAAGGUAUAUAAAGGGCUGUGUGUGUUUGCAUAAUUCGGACUUUCUGCAGACUGUCACACUUUAUUGGUUUUCAAUAAAGUUUAUUUACUUUUUGACAUCAUCUAAACUCUCUGUCUCUGAAGUUUUUGACUUAGGCUAAAAAGGUUGAUUUAUCCGCGUGUGUGUGUGUGUUUUGGGUGCAUGGUGGCUUAGGGGUUAGCACGUUUGCCUCACACCUCCGGCACUCCGGUUUCCUCCCCCAGGCCAAAGACAUGCAUGGUAGGCGGAUUGGCGUUUCCAAAGUGUCUGUAGUGUAUGAAUCACUGCGCCUGGGGGCCAUCUUCAGUCAUCUUGACUCAGUCUUGCCACUGGGUCACCAGGAAGUGAGAGUGAGGCCGAUGCUGCGCAAGUCUUCCUCACUAUUAUCCAAUUCACGCGCAAGUCGAGUCCCCAUAUGUUCUCCAUAAUGGAGGCGGAAAUGGAAACUUCAGUCUUUCUCGAAAUCGACGGACGAACUCCUGUGUGUGUUUUAUUUUCGUGGCUUGAUGUAGUUAUUGCAAGCAAGCGAAUAUUAAGUGUUAUUUACUUUAAUUUACGCUCAGCCUAUCUGUUCCUAUACUUUUGCUCACCUAAAAAUUAGGCUAUUUCAAAUAAUCCCCGCUCAGUGGAAUAUCCCCUGCUCCAACCAGUGCCAGGGUGAAAUGAAGCCCAUGGAGCCACCGCUCAUAUUUUAUUUUAUUUUUUUAUUUUAUUUUAUUUUAUCCUUUAUUUAACCAGGAAGUCCCAUUGAGAUAUCACAAUGUCUUUUUCCAGGGAGACCUGGUCAAGAUGGCAUCACGUAGAGUUUCACACAGAGAUAAUCACAAAAAAAAAAACUCGUACAAAACAAUUAAUAAGACUAAAGUCAAGAAAAGCACUUAGAAGACUCCUUUAACACAAUUUGCAAAAGACAUUUAAAAGUAUUCAGAGGUGACAGUAUCUCUAGUUUAAUUACAUGUUGCAGCUCGUUCCAGGCCCAGGGAGCAUGAAAAGAAAAAGCAUGUUUGCCAAAUUCUGAGUAUACCUGUGGAACGUUUAACCGAAUGUGUGAUUGAGAUCUAGUACAAUAACUAUUUGUAUAAAAAGUUAGGAGAUUAAAAAUAUAAGAGCAAUUUACCUAGAAGUGCCUUAGCAAUGAACAUAUACAUAUGCAGUUUCCUCCUAUGAUGCAAAGAUGUCCAUCCCAAUGAUUCAUAUAGUAUACAGUGAUGAGUACGUGAAUCUGUACCACAAACAAAGUGUAAUGCUGCAUGAUAGACACAGUACAGUUUCCUUAAUAAAGGUUAAGCUGAAAACUAGCAAAAACUAGCAAGGUCACCAUAAUCAAUUAUAGAUUAAAAAAAAGUACUCUCCACUAUUUUCUUUCUAGACUCAUAAGGAAAGCAGUUUUUUAACGAUAAAAGAACCCCAAUUUUGGUUUAAGCUUCUUCAGCAGAUAAUCAAAGUGUAC